rnacentral:rRNA from 1 species
GUGGGGAAUCUUCCGCAAUGGGCGAAAGCCUGACGGAGCAACGCCGCGUGAACGAGGAAGGUCUUCGGAUCGUAAAGUUCUGUUGCAGGGGACGAACGGCAGUAGUGCUAAUACCACUAUUGAAUGACGGUACCCUGUUAGAAAGCCACGGCUAACUACGUGCCAGCAGCCGCGGUAAUACGUAGGCGGCAAGCGUUGUCCGGAAUUAUUGGGCGUAAAGGGAGCGCAGGCGGAUGACUAAGCGGAUCUUAAAAGUGCGGGGCUUAACCCCGUGAUGGGAUGCGAACUGGUUAUCUUGAGUGCAGGAGAGGAAAGCGGAAUUCCCAGUGUAGCGGUGAAAUGCGUAGAUAUUGGGAAGAACACCAGUGGCGAAGGCGGCUUUCUGGACUGUAACUGACGCUGAGGCUCGAAAGCCAGGGUAGCGAACGGGAUUAGAAACCCGAGUAGUCC